CUCUCCCUUCUCUCUCCCCGACCCUCUCUUCCUCUCCGACCUCUUCACCUUCUUCCGGCCAUAACUCCUCCAUCCGGCGACGGAUUUUGACUUAUAAGAUGUCGUUGGAAAGCUCUCUUCAUAUUCUUCAUUUCUGGGUACGUUUCGUAGCUUAAUAUGAACUAUGGAAGGUGCAGCAACGAGAAGAAGAGGACGGUCACUGUAGCAGUUUUGAGUCAACGCCGAUAUUUUCCGAUUCCGGCAGUCUCCGGCCACCAAACUGGCAUCGAAGGGUUCUUGGAAUUUCUGGAAAUUUUUCACCGGCCAAAUUGGAGCUCUUCCAGGGCAAUGCCGCGAGCUACGGUUAAAUGAAGGAACUCGUUUGCGUGGUCGCCCAAUAGUACUUUUGCAGGCGAAAUUAGUUGAGGUCGGGCGUACAUGGAGUCGAGGCAUAGCCAACAGUAUUACUUCCGCGUACUCAUUCUAUUUCUGUUUUUCUUUGUUACCUAGUGGAUUAGUAUUGCUCUGAUAACCUAUGGGAUUAAUAUUGUUUUUGGGUUGAGACUGAUAUUUGUGAAAUUGAAGUUGUGAUUUGGGGAGCAGAUGGCUCCAGAAGAUUAAGGAUGGAUGAUUUAGAAGUGUAAAUGUUUUCCUACAGGUUUUGGGUAGCCUACUUUUAGGGGAAGUUCCGCCAAAUUUUUGGUAGAAUCUCUUAUAAAGUAGGCCCCGCAGGGCCACUUCGGAUUUCAGGGUGAAAUCUGGGGCAGGUCCUGUCAAGCUCACUCAUGGAAUCAAAGAAUCUUAAGCUAGCUCAUAUGUACUCAUUCCGUUAUAGUUAACGCGACCCAAAUUGCCUCGAUGAGUACUAUGACAAGACUACAAAAUCGAAUUCGAAUUAUGAUUAUAAUGUUGCAACAUAUUCUAACUUUCGUAAAGUUAUGAAUUACUUAGAGCUCUUGAAGAGCUUAUAUGAGACAUAUCAAUACGCAAAGAUAUUGAUGUGUAUGGCUAGGUAUGCCAUGAUGAUUUUUCAAUGUUUUAAACUAUACAAAGUUAAAUGUGUCAAUUUAUUUAUAUUGUUUAACUAUUACUUUGUGUAUGAAUUUGAGCAUAUGAGAUUGUUUCUAACCUUAUCAUAUGAGGUAAGGCUUUGUCGUCUAGUUUUGUUGGUAUUUCUUAAACUUUACAAGUAUGAAAAUUUGUGAUG